rnacentral:rRNA from 1 species
CCUUCGGGUGUGAAUUAGCGGCGAACGGGUGAGGAACACGUGAAGAAUCUGCCUUCAACUCUGGGAUAACUCCGGGAAACCGGGGCUAAUACCGGAUAUGAGCCUUGAUCGCAUGAUCGGGGCUGGAAAGUUUUUCGGUUGAAGAUGACUUCGCGGCCUAUCAGCUUGUUGGUGAGGUAAUGGCUCACCAAGGCGACGACGGGUAGCCGGCCUGAGAGGGCGACCGGCCACACUGGGACUGAGACACGGCCCAGACUCCUACGGGAGGCAGCAGUGGGGAAUAUUGGGCAAUGGAGGAAACUCUGACCCAGCGACGCCGCGUGAGGGAUGAAGGCCUUCGGGUUGUAAACCUCUUUCAGUAGGGAAGAAGCGAAAGUGACGGUACCUACAGAAGAAGCACCGGCUAACUAUGUGCCAGCAGCCGCGGUAAUACAUAGGGUGCAAGCGUUGUCCGGAAUUAUUGGGCGUAAAGAGCUCGU